UACGGGAGGCAGCAGUGGGGAAUAUUGGACAAUGGGCGAAAGCCUGAUCCAGCCAUGCCGCGUGUGUGAAGAAGGUCUUCGGAUUGUAAAGCACUUUAAGUUGGGAGGAAGGGCAGUUACCUAAUACGUGAUUGUUUUGACGUUACCGACAGAAUAAGCACCGGCUAACUCUGUGCCAGCAGCCGCGGUAAUACAGAGGGUGCAAGCGUUAAUCGGAAUUACUGGGCGUAAAGCGCGCGUAGGUGGUUUGUUAAGUUGGAUGUGAAAUCCCCGGGCUCAACCUGGCAACUGCAUUCAAAACUGACUGACUAGAGUAUGGUAGAGGGUGGUGGAAUUUCCUGUGUAGCGGUGGAAU
rnacentral:rRNA from 1 species